GAUCCUUGAGGGAUUCCACUUUCUACAUCUCUCCAUCCGGAAAACAGCCCACUUAUUCCUACUCUCUGCUUCCUGUCACUUAGCCCGUUCCUGAUCCACACAAGGACCUCACCUCUUCUUUCAUGCCUGCUAUGCUUACUCAGGAAUCUUUGGAGAGUGUUUUCAGAAGCAGAGAGAGAGCCAGACACAGACACAGAACCUGAACAGCUUAGAAAAGAGUUACCCAGCUACGAGAUAGUGACAAGGGAACCAGAAGGGAGGGGACAGCCAGGAGAGAUGUCAGUCGAGAGUGUGGGGGACCCCCUUCCUCACCAUGGACUCGGAGGUCUGAACAUAUCAGAGAACAAAGGAGGCAUAGGGAGGGAGGAACUUCCCAUUGGCGCCUGUCUUGCUGCAGAAGGAAGUCGGAAGGAGGGUUUAGAGUAGGCAACUGCCCUUCUUGCAGAGAGCUGUGUAUUUGUGCUCACAACAUGAAGCUGUAAUAAAAAGGACUAUCAAUCUAUCAA